UUUUUAUUAAACAUGUCAACGACGUAUAGUUAAUAAAAAAAUAUAUAUUCUUAGUUAUUAAGCAGAUUUUGCAAUUAAAGCCAAAUUUUUUAAGUGUUGUGAAGUGUACAAUUUGGACUGAUAUUAAUACAUACAUACAUAUGUACAUGUAUAUGCCAUUUAUUGCCGAAAUUUCUUAACUGUUUUCUUAGCUACAUAAAUGUGCAAUUUUUGAAGUAAAAUUUUAAGUUGUCAAGAGCGAAAAAAAGCAACAAAAAAAUUUCAAAAUAAAAAAAAAAACGGUUUCAUAUAAAACAACAAAAAAUAGUAAAACUGCAUGUUAAAAGCCCAAAAAACAUAUAGACCGAAGCAAUUUGAGCACAAAAGCAUCAGCUUUCGAGACAACAAGCAACAACGGCAACAUCAUACAAAGAAACAGCAGCGCAAAGCGUAGUCGCGCUCGCUUUUUUAAAUACCAGCGGAGCAACAGGCAAAGGCAACUACGAGAAGAUUUGUUAAAAUUUCACUUUCGCUCAACUUAAUAAAAGUAAAUUUAUCUAAUUGGAAAAGCGAGAAUAAAAAUUUGUAGAGAAAAUUACGCAGCGAUAAAAACGCUAAAAGAUAUCAGAUAUUGGCUACACAAAGAGCGCCUAAAAAGAGCGUCAUUUAAUUUAAUACCGCGCUUGAGUCGACAAAUAAGAGUUUAGCGAAAACGCUUAGCCAAAAAAGAACGCUCAAAUCAGUUGUCAAGCGAAAACGUCAAACUGUCUAGCGAUUGCACUCCGGAUAAUCAUCGUCGCCUGCCAAAACGACAGACGCAAACACAAAAAUUGGACAUUCAUAGCAAAGCGUUAACAUAAUGUUAAGUUCGCUCGAUGCUUUAGCCGGUAAAAUUUCACCUGGUUCUGGCAAGAAUAGUCCGUCCCAGCAGGCACAGCAACAACAACAGCAAGAUUAUAAUAUACACCAAAUCUCGGCUACAAACAUUGCACAGCAGCAGCAGCAGCAGCAACAACAACAGUCGACAAUACCAGCUACACAAUUACAACAAACACAUUCGCCAACUGCUAGAGAGCAACAACAACAACAACUGCCACGCUUCAAUGGCAACGGCAAUGGCAAUCAUUACAACAACGGAUUGGAUAGCAACUGCAAUAAAUUAUGCCACAUCAAUCACAAUAACAGCAUACAUCCGUAUCAGAAGCAGCUAUCGGGCCAGCAGCAACAACAGCAUAGCCAACAACAGCAACAACAACUGCAACAGCAAAGCAUAUCGACAGCGCAACAGCAACAGUUGCAAAGCUUCUGUCAGCAGCAGCAGCAAUUGCAACAGCAACAGCAUGAGUUGUUUCAACAACAGCUGUUGCAACAGCAGAAAUCACUGUUACUACAGCAACAACAACAGGCGAUGGAGGAGUCCGAUUCGCUGCAAGACUUUCGCAGUUGCCUGAAGGAGAAUGCAUUUGGCAUGAGUGAUAAAAGCAGCACCACUAACAGCCUUCCCAACAGUCCGAUUCAUGCGUCUACACCGGGCGCCAACAACAAUGGUUGUAGCAACAAUAGUCCAUCGCUGUUGACUAGCAGUAAUAGUAAUAGCAGUACCGGGCUGCUCAAUUGCACCAACAAUAGCAAUGGCAACGUUAGCAAUAACAACAACGGCAGCGGCUUAAGCAAUGGUCCAGCAAGUCUUUGUAAUGCCAAUGGCAAUAAUAACAACAAUACGUGCAGUGCCAAUCGGAAUGUUGUCGACAACGAAUCAACAUGCUUCCGCAUGGACACCGACGUUGUUGCCUUUGGCGAGAAGGAACCCGAUCCAGACAAUAUCAAAAUGUUUGUUGGCCAAGUGCCAAAAUCCAUGGAUGAGACACAAUUGCGUGAGAUGUUCGAAGAGUACGGUCCAGUGCAUUCGAUAAAUGUGUUACGCGAUAAGGCGACUGGAAUCAGUAAAGGUUGCUGUUUUGUGACAUUUUAUACUCGUCGCGCUGCCUUAAAAGCCCAAGAUGCCCUGCAUAAUGUGAAAACCUUAAAUGGGAUGUAUCAUCCCAUACAAAUGAAGCCUGCCGAUAGCGAAAAUCGAAAUGAACGAAAGCUGUUCGUUGGAAUGCUCAAUAAGAAACUGAACGAGAACGACGUACGAAAAUUAUUCGAAGUUCACGGCGCCAUCGAGGAGUGCACGGUAUUGAGGGAUCAAAACGGACAGAGUAAAGGGUGUGCCUUUGUUACAUUUGCCACUAAGCACGCGGCGAUAUCAGCGAUAAAAGUAACUUUGAACCAAAAUAAAACAAUGGAGGGCUGUACAUCGCCGCUGGUUGUGAAAUUCGCCGAUACGCAGAAAGAGAAAGAGCAAAAGAAGAUACAACAAAUACAAGCGAAUCUGUGGAAUUUGGCUUCGAACAUCAAUAUACCGUUGGGUCAAACCGCUACCACCGUUUCGACGCCGAUACUGCCGAAUCCGCCGCAACAAGCGAGUCCGGUGUUGGGCGCUGAUGCCAUUACGCCGGCCUCACUGCAAUUGCUGCAACAGUUGCAAGCGGUUGGACUGCAACAACAACUGCUGCAAGGUUUGGGCGCCCAGACGAAUACCGCGGAGACGGCAGCGGCAACAGCUGCCGCCGCAGCUGCUGGUUUGCUACCUCCGAUGACGGUACAAAAUUUGGCCGCCAUUGCGGCCAUGACACAACCCUCACUCACCAAUGCUGCCACCAAUCCGGGCAGUGCCCAACUGACAAACACAGCGGCUCUCUUAUGUCUCUUAGGAAAAACCGCCAGCUCAGGGUCCGAUCCGAAUCCAUUAGCAUCCGCGUACAUGUCAACGGCCGCUGGUUUGCCACAAUUCAGCAGCACCGCUUUAUCGACUUCGCCACUGGCCAGCGUGGCAUUGAGUAGCGCGGCAGCAGCAGCGGCUGGCAAACAAAUUGAAGGACCUGAAGGCUGCAAUCUAUUCAUCUACCAUCUGCCGCAAGAGUUCACCGACACCGAUUUGGCAUCCACUUUCCUGCCAUUUGGCAAUGUUAUUUCCGCCAAAGUUUUCAUCGACAAACAAACAAAUCUCUCCAAGUGUUUCGGGUUUGUCUCAUUCGAUAAUCCUGAAUCGGCGCAGGUAGCCAUUAAAGCGAUGAAUGGUUUUCAAGUGGGCACCAAACGCUUGAAGGUGCAACUGAAGAAACCCAAAGAUGCAUCAAAGCCUUAUUAGGACAACAAGGCCAACAAUGUGUGGCGAUUGAAAAGUAAUAGUAGCCAGUACUUAUACGGGAAUAUGGAGCGGCGUUUGGUGAAGCAAGAACGCGCAGAAAGGAAGUGAAGUAAUUGAGAGUAGCAACAAAUGCUGAAUAAAGUAAGCGAAAAUGGUGGGAAGGAGAAAUUGUAAUAAUACAUUUUUGAAUUAACUGAAUUAAUGUGGCGCAGCUGUACAAAAAACAUAACAACAAUAACUUCGAAGGCUGCAACAUAUGAUGUGUGAAGGUGUAUGCUGUUGGUGUGGGAGGUAUCAAUAUGGCAGUGGGCCGCUGGAAGUGUUUCAGAUUCGAUUGAUGCCAAUAAAUAAACUUCUACAAUUUGAACAGCAAACCAAAUACAAACAAAAAUCAACAAUAUUUACUGUAAUAUUUUCCAAGAAAAAAUUGUAAAAUGUCACGAUUGUAAAAUAAUGUAAAAAUAGAAUAGUUCAAUUUAAAAUGCGGUUGUAUGAAGCGAAAAAAUUUAAUAAAAGAAGUGAUUCAAAUAUUUCAAAGAAAAAA